AGAUCACUACGGUGAUUUGUAAGCAACUUACUAUACUUUGUACUAGACCAUCUAAAUUUCUAAUUUAAUGAUGAAAGAUUUUUGGGUACAGUUAAGUACUUAUCAAGUUGGUGCAUAAGUCAAGAUGGGAUUGAUCCCUCUGAAUAAGUAGGAGAUAAUGCAUCAGUGUAUUUCAAUUUAGUAAAAUCUUGGCCAGGAUAAUCCAUGUGAUAGAUUUGAAAAGAUUGAAAUACAAUGUGAUCAACUAUAUUAGGGUUGACAGUUAAAUCCUAGGUCACCUUGAGCAUUUGGAUC
rnacentral:lncRNA from 1 species